rnacentral:rRNA from 1 species
AUUGAACGCUGGCGGCAUGCUUUACACAUGCAAGUCGAACGGUAACAGGGAGCUUGCUCCGCUGACGAGUGGCGAACGGGUGAGUAAUAUAUCGGAACGUACCCAAGAGUGGGGGAUAACGUAGCGAAAGUUGCGCUAAUACCGCAUACGAUCUAAGGAUGAAAGCAGGGGAUCUUCGGACCUUGUGCUCCUGGAGCGGCCGCUAUCUGAUUAGCUAGUUGGUGAGGUAAAGGCUCACCAAGGCGACGAUCAGUAGCUGGUCUGAGAGGGCGACCCGCCACAUUGGAACUGAGACACGGUCCAGACUCCGACGGGAGGCAGCAGUGGGGAAUUUUGGACAAUGGGCGCAAGCCUGAUCCAGCAAUGCCGCGUGAGUGAAGAAGGCCUUCGGGUUGUAAAGCUCUUUUGUCAGGAAAGAAACGGGAGUGGCUAAUAUCCAUUCCUAAUGACGGUACCUGAAGAAUAAGCACCGGCUAACUACGUGCCAGCCGCCGCAGUAACAC